UACGGGGGGGGCAAGCGUUGUUCGGAAUUACUGGGCGUAAAGGGCUCGUAGGCGGCCAACUAAGUCAGACGUGAAAUCCCUCGGCUUAACCGGGGAACUGCACCUGAUACUGGAUGGCUUGAGUUCGGGAGAGGGAUGCGGAAUUCCAGGUGUAGCGGUGAAAUGCGUAGAUAUCUGGAGGAACACCGGUGGCGAAGGCGGCUAUCGUCGGAUCCCGACGACU
rnacentral:rRNA from 1 species